AACGGCUCCAUUAUAAUGCAGAUGAAUCUCCCAAAAAUAUAUUCCUUGCGUUGAUGUGAUAUUUUAUGCUGUAAGUGAUUAAUUACAACGUUAAACGUUAUGGUGUCCUCUGGGGAUAUAAGGUAGCGUGCGAUGACGUCACGAAUCGCAGAUCAAUGGACAGAAGAUGAGGCAAGGAUCAAAGACAAAAGGACAACCCAAAGAUCAAACAAGAAAUUAAUCUACUUCAUUUAUCUCGGGCAUUUCUCUUAAACAAGUCAUACAAAACUGUGUCUGUGAGAGUGUUGCUACUUUUGGCUACAACAGUAAGAAUUUAACUCAGAAACAAACCAAAAUGUGGCAACAGAAGAGAAACGUCAGAAAGGUAAGAUGAUCCGGUUGAUUUUCUUAAGUGAUAUGAGAUAAAUUCUGUUUUUACUUACUCAUAGUGAUUUAUUUAUUUAUUUUAAAUAAAUUUAUUUGGGAACUGAACAUUUGGAGAGGAGUCUUGGUUUGGGUUGCUUUAAUAUUUUAUUCUUUAUUUGGAAAUGUUUUUAUAAAGUGCAUUUACAAAAAUAGGAAUAUUAACUGAUGCAUUCUUUGAUGUUUAUUCCUAUUUUUUCUUGUUUAUUCAGACUGUUAAUGCAGAGACAGAGUUGAUGGGGAGACCGAGAGAGCAUCCCAGAGACUUUGAGAGUCCAGAAAAUGGCCUGGUGCUUAAAGAGAGGGCGUACUGGAAGAAACAACUCCAUGAGCUGCAACAGAAAUGUGACAAGCUGGGAAGACAAGUGUUCUACGCUGAACAGCACAACAGAGACUUAAACGACAAACUCCAGCAGGUCAAAGAGCUGAACAAGAAAAAGGAUGAAGAGACAGCGUCUCUACAACAGCAACUGGAUUUGAGAAAAGGCUUCAACCAGACAGGUGAAAUCCAGGAUGAACUGAAUGAGGUUGAUGAUCAGCCCAAAAAAGUCGACAUCGGUCUUCAGACAGGUGAAAUCCAGGAUGAACUGAAUGGGGUCGAUGAUCAGCCCAAGAAAGUCGACAUCGGGCUUCAGAUCAAUAUUCCUCUGACUGACAUCAGUGACUCCCAAGAGCUGCAAAACUCUGAAGGGAGCCUUGAAGAGGAGGUGGGACAACCCAGAGAGGUCCUGCCAGAAAGAGAGGAGCAGUUCAGGGAAAAGAGCUUGAGGAGUGAAGCUCAUGUGGACACCUUGGCCUUGCUGACCCAGACUGAGGCUGCUCUGAGAGAGAGUGAGGAAAAGAGCUUCAGGCUGGAGAAAGAGCUCCAGGUAAUAGUGGCUGAACAGGGCCAGAAACAACUCUCCAGAAAAGAAGAGAGUGUCAGCACGGAGCCCUGUGGACCAGAUAACACGGCCAUAAACCACCUGUACGACCUCUGUGACCACUGGGAGAACAUUAUAAACCAGAUGAUCCAAACAGAGAGAAAAGUACAGGAGGAAAAAAAGGAGGAGACCAGACUCCAGCAGGAGAUUCAGCAUCUCCAUGUGGAGAAGGUCCAGCUUCAGAAAAAGAAGAAAAGCAAAUUCUGGAGCUGGAUACCAAAGUGUUUAUCAAGCUAAAGGUCUCCUGGUCCCCCCCCCUCACCAUCACGCUGUCCCAUUCUUCCACCCAGAUGACAACAGAAACUGGGAUGGAAAGUGAACAUAGUGUUUCCUCAGAUGCAGAAAAAAACAGUUUCUGAACUAAAUCUAUAGCUUCUUUUUUAAUAUCUAUUUUUCCCCAUUAUUGGCUUUUAUUUGUGCUUUGUUCCUUAAUGUGUGUCAACCUUUUACCAUUGCAAUGAUCAUUUGUAAAUAAAAUAUUUAAAAAUGAAUAUAAUUAGAUCAGUUCUUGAUUGAUAAAAUGAUCAAUGAUGAUCAUCUGAACUUCAUCUGAACCUCAUUAUUUCCUGAAACACCAAGGAAAGCUCAUCUCAGCGAUGCUGCUGACAGCCUCCUCUGAAGUCGCAUGUCGUCGCUUCGUCGCUGGCUGUCGUGGUGGUUCCCUGAACACCACGUGUCCUUUGUAGACAAUUGGAACAGUUUUUAGGGAAGCCUGGUCUGAUUCGGAGAGACGGUGGCCAUCACACUCAAGAUGGUGCCUCUCUCAUUUCUAGUAACUUGGCUAAUUUUAUUAGACCCAAAGUGAGCUGACAAACCAGUGUCCAGACCAGGAUGCAGAGUUGUAGUCUUACACACAUCUCUGCUGCUUCCAUAGAACCUUCAUCCACCAACAACAACAUAUUUAACACUAUAGAGGUAGUCUCUGUUCCCCGGUUAAAUGUUCCCCAAACACAGAGCAGGGGAGCGGUCAAUCACCAUAAUCUUAUUAAAAAUAAUACCAAAGCACAAGUUGGAGGAACUAACAUCACGAUUAAAUGUGGACUGUUAAAUAUUAGAUCUCUUUUGUGCAAAUCCCUGUUAGUGCAUCAUCACAUAGUGGAUCAUCAAAUUGAUUUAUUUUGUCUUACUGAGACCUGGCUUCAGAAAGAGGAGUAUGUUAGCUUAAAUGAAUCUACUCCUCCAACCCAUCUUAAUUAUCAUAUUCCUCAUGUUACUGGUCGAGGAGGCGGAGUGGCAGCAAUCUAUCACUCCAAGUUAUUAAUUAAUCCUUGACCAAAAUAUGGCUCCAGGUCAUUUGAAAUCCUGAGUCUUGGCAUCACUCAUCUGAACUGGAGGACAGAAAAGCCACUUCUGUUUGUAGUUGUAUAUCGGCCCCCUGCUGGGCCACAUUCAGAGUUCCUGUCUG
rnacentral:lncRNA from 1 species